rnacentral:rRNA from 1 species
UACGUAGGGUGCAAGCGUUAAUCGGAAUUACUGGGCGUAAAGCGUGCGCAGGCGGCUUUGCAAGACAGAUGUGAAAUCCCCGGGCUUAACCUGGGAACUGCAUUUGUGACUGCAUGGCUGGAGUGCGGCAGAGGGGGGGUAGAAUUCCACGUGUAGCAGUGAAAUGCGUAGAUAUGUGGAGGAACACCGAUGGCGAAGGCAGCCCCCUGGGAUAACACUGACGCUCAUGCACGAAAGGCGUGGGGA